CCGUGUUUCGUAUCUGAAAAUGACAGCGCAGUUGCUUCUUCACUCCAUCCAGAUGACUUUGAAUCCAAAUUCCAGUUCCACCCAAAAGAAGAUUUUCCUCCUCCAGAUGAAUUCAAGCCUUUCCCUCGCAUCUACCCCAGUAAAGAAAACAGAGUAAAUCCAGCGCCCCAUGGGAUCAGGUCACACCUCAGAUGAGAUUCAUCCCACACAAUUCCUGGAUACAAAGGUUCGGAAACGCUCAACAAUAAACACAAGAGCCAGGCGCUUUUGGUUCCGCGGCGGGGAUAUCGUUUGCGUGUUAGUUGCGCCUCCUACGACAUAACGGUGACCUCUGACCUUUUCUGGAGUGGAAUGUUUUGAAUGCGAGUGAGAGGAGGGCCCGCCCGACUCGUCCUCAUCAGCACAUACGCGCAGUCUCUCGUGAAUUUCUUCCAGGGGCUAUUUUGGAUGUGGUUUGUUUGAAGCGGUUUUGAGCAAUUUGUUAUCUGUACACAAAAGAAAUGAGAAUGAUCUGCAAAAGCCGCGGGCAUAUUAAACUCUUUUGAUAAUGACAUCCAACGUUCACACAACAGAGUUAGCAUACAUUGGGUUUGUUGCUGCGGUAAGCAACAGCGAAAUACUGUUGCAGGCUUCGCUAGCAUUUCAAGUCCAAUUUGAUGGACGCCAAUAGAUCAUGUGGACAUAUUUUUCAUUGCGGACAAUGACUCGACUUCUACUGUGACUGCGGAAGUGCACUUGAGUACAUUUUCCUCGAGAUCAGGUUGGCGCUCCCCGAUGUACUAACCAGACUUGUAACAACAGCGCCAUCUGUUGGCCAAUCACGUGAUAAAAUCACACUUUUCCCAGUCACUUUAUUGAUCACGUUGACGAAAAGGGGCAAGUGCAACAACGUUAUUUGCUUGAUAGAAAAUAAAAAUGCAAACAACAGUCUUA